rnacentral:rRNA from 1 species
CAGCAGCCACGGGAAUACAGAGGAUGCAAGCGUUAUCCGGAUUUACUGGGCGUAAAGCGCACGUAGGCGGACUUUUAAGUCAGGGGUGAAAUCCCGGGGCUCAACCCCGGAACUGCCUUUGAUACUGGAGGUCUUGAGUAUGGUAGAGGUGAGUGGAAUUCCGAGUGUGGAGGUGAAAUUCAUAGAUAUUCGGAGGAACACCAGUGGCGAAGGCGGCUCACUGGUCCAUUACUGACGCUGAGGUGCGAAAGCGUGGGGAGCAAACAGGAUUAGAUACCCGGGUAGUCCAUGUCUCUUAUAA